rnacentral:misc_RNA from 1 species
GAUGAAGAACGCAGCGAAAUGCGAUAAGUAAUGUGAAUUGCAGAAUUCAGUGAAUCAUCGAAUCUUUGAACGCACAUUGCGCCCCUUGGUAUUCCGAGGGGCAUGCCUGUUCGAGCGUCAUUUCAACCCUCAAGCACAGCUUGGUCUUGGGCUUCGCCGCUAACCCGGCGGGUCUUAAGAUCAGUGGCGGUGCCGUCGGGCCCUGAGCGCAGUAAUCUCUCUCGCUAUAGGGUCCCGGCGGAUGCUGGCCAGUAACCCCCAAUUUUCUAUGGUUGACCUCGGAUCAGGUAGGGAUACCCGCUGAACUUAAGCAUAUCAAUAAGCGGAGGA